rnacentral:tRNA from 1 species
UUUCCUAUUAAUAUAAAGAGUAUAUUUGACUUCCAAUCAGAAAGUUCCCUCAUAGAAGGAAUAGGAAAA